GCAUGUCUCAGUACUUGCUAUAACAAGGCGAAACCGCGAAUGGCUCAUUAAAACAGUUAUGGUUCACUAGAUCGUACCGUUUACACGGAUAACUGUGGUAAUUCUAGAGCUAAUACGUGCAACCAGCUCGUUUCUUCGGAAGCGAGCGCAGUUAUUAGAACAAGACCAAUCCGGCCUUCGGGUCGGUAACUUGGUGACUCUGAAUAACCGAAGCAGAGCGCAUGGUCUCGUACCGGCGCCAGAUCUUUCAAGUGUCUGACUUAUCAGCUUGUUGUUAGGUUACGUUCCUAACAAGGCUAUUACGGGUGACGGGGUAUCAGGGUCCGAUACCGGAGAGGGAGCCUGAGAAACGGCUACCACAUCCAAGGAAGGCAGCAGGCGCGCAAAUUACCCACUCCCAGCACGGGGAGGUAGUGACGAAAAAUAACGAUGCGAGGGCUUUAUGCCUCUCGCAAUCGGAAUGGGUACACUUUAAAUCCUUUAACGAGGAUCUAUUGGAGGGCAAGUCUGGUGCCAGCAGCCGCGGUAAUUCCAGCUCCAAUAGCGUAUAUUAAAGUUGCUGCGGUUAAAAAGCUCGUAGUUGAAUCUGGGCAGUUGGACGGAUGGUGCGCUUCACGGCGCUACUAUCUGUUCGGCGCCACAAGCCGGCCAUGUCUUGCAUGCCCUUCACUGGGUGUGCUUGGCGACCGGAACGUUUACUUUGAAAAAAUUAGAGUGCUCAAAGCAGGCGUACGGCCUUGCAUAAUGGUGCAUGGAAUAAUGGAAUAGGACCUCGGUUCUAUUUUGUUGGUUUUCGGAACUCGAGGUAAUGAUUAAUAGGAACAGACGGGGGCAUUCGUAUUGCGGCGUUAGAGGUGAAAUUCUUGGAUCGUCGCAAGACGAACUACUGCGAAGG
rnacentral:rRNA from 1 species